AUUCUUACCUGGCCGGGGAGAUACCAUGAUCAUAAAGGUGGUUUUCCCAGGGCAAGGCUUAUCCAUUGCACUGUGGACGUGUUGACCCCUGAGACCUUCAAAUGCAGGAAACUCAGCAUGCUUAAUUUGUGAUAGUGGGGGACUGUGUUUGCACUCUCCCCAU